GCCUGCCUAGCUCAAUCGGAUAGAGCGUCAGACUCUUACAAUUAGGCAGGGUACAUCUGAAGGCUGCGAGUUCGACCCUCGCGGUGGGCU
rfam:Hypholoma sublateritium FD-334 SS-4 unplaced genomic scaffold scaffold_25, whole genome shotgun sequence.